CCUGGGCCGGGCCCGACGCUGAGGCGCGAAGGCGUGGGGAGCGAACCGGAUUAGAUACCCGGGUAGUCCACGCAGUCAACGGUGGGUACUAGCCCUCGGGCCCGGCCCGGGGGCGCAGCCAACGCGACAAGUACCCCGCCUGGUGACUACGGCCGCAAGGCUGAAAGCCAAAGGAAUUGGCGUGGGCCCGCACAAGCGGGGGAGCAUGUGGUUUAAUCCGAUGCAGACCGGAGAACCUUACCAGGGCUUGACUGUCGGUGGUAGGCGGCCGAAAGGUCAGCCGACCUGAUGCUCUCUGGCCAGAGAGCCUCUGUGGUCGGGGCCUCGGGAGCCGACACAGGUGCUGCACGGCUGUCGUCAGCUCGUGCCGUGAGGUGUGGGGUUCAGUCCUCAAACGAGCGCAACCCUCGCCGCUAGUUGCCCGGGGGGUCCCCCGCCCCGGGGGACCCCCCGGGCUCUCUAGCGGGACUGCCGGGGUGACCCGGAGGAAGGCGGGGACGACGUCAAGUCAGCGUGGCCCUGAUGCCCUGGGCCACACACAUGCUACAGUGGGGGGGACAGCGGGCGGCCACCCCGCGAGGGGGAGCGAAUCCCUGAAACCCUCCCUCGGUUCCGAUCGGAGUCUGCAACCCGACUCCGUGAAGCCGGACCCGCUAGUAACCGCCGGUCAGCGAUACGGCGGUGAAUACGUUCUCGGGCCCUACACAGAUCGCACGCCACGUCCCGGGCACGGGUGGAUCGGAAGGCCGGCUGGCUCAGGAGACGCUCGGGAACCGGGACGAAGGCGUAGCAAAGUAGCCGUACGGGAACGUGCGGCUG
rnacentral:rRNA from 1 species